UUUGAAGUUCCAUCUUCAUCCUAGGGACUGAACAGUCUCCUUUAUCCUCCCAGGCAUUGGCUGGGUCCCCCUCCAACGACCCAAUCAAGAAGAAGCCUGACGCACUCUCCAUCUGACCCGGGAUCCCUCUCUGUCAAAACCCACGAUGGGUCAGGGCCCACUCAUAGAUGUCUGACUUUGGUUUCUCCUUUCCCCAGCUGCUGACUCAACCUCUUGACCAAGCCCAUCCAAUUUCCAGUGAUUUCCUUGGGCUCUAUUUCCUUUCUGCUUAUACUCCAGUCUCUACCUCUUUUUCUGUCCAACCAUCUCCGUUCCUCAUUCCUGCCCCAUCCUCACUUCCCUAUUUCUUGUCCCACUAAACACCCCUAUCUUGGUUCCUGCUCUUUGCAGACAUGGCACUGGGGGACCAACCUUGCUCAUUCCUUCUCUGCAUCCUUGGCUUCUGCCUGAGCACCAUUCACCCUCUGUGUGAUUAAAGGCAAAUUACCUUCCAUGAGCCUCAGUCUACUCAGCUGCAGAAAUGGGAAUGAUCCUCUUUCAUCCAGUGGCUGUGUUGGGAGCCAGAGCUUGGCGAUUGUAUUUACAGUGACAUGAGCACAAUAUGUGAGGAAUUACCAGGAGGCCCCGGGCUGCCACGAGACUGGAUUUGUACUGAUAUCGCCCAUUACGAGGUGUCAU
rnacentral:lncRNA from 1 species